UGCCUGGUCUUCUAAUUGGCAGGAUGCCGGAAUCUGACUCCGGUGGUUGAGGUUCGAGUCCUUGCCGGGCAGC
rnacentral:tRNA from 2 species